AGCAGCCGUGGUAAUUCCAGCUCCAAUAGCGUAUAUUAAAGUUGUUGCAGUUAAAAAGCUCGUAGUUGAAUUUCGGGAUCAGUUGGUCGGUCGUGCCUCGGUACGUACUGGUCAAAUUGAUUCCUACCUUCUGACGAACCACGAUGUCAUUAAUUUGGUGUCGCGGGAAAUCAGGACUGUUACUUUGAAAAAAUUAGAGUGUUUAAAGCAGGCUCGCGCUUGAAUACAUUAGCAUGGAAUAAUGAAAUAGGAUGUUUGAUUCUAUUUUGUUGGUUUCUAGGAUCGACGUAAUGAUUAAUAGGGAUAGUUGGGGGCAUUAGUAUUCAAUUGUCAGAGGUGAAAUUCUUGGAUUUAUUGAAGACUAACUACUGCGAAAGCAUUUGCCAAGGAUGUUUUCAUUAAUCAAGAACGAAAGUUAGGGGAUCGAAGACGAUCAGAUACCGUCGUAGUCUUAACCAUAAACUAUGCCGACUAGGAAUCAGACGAUGUUAAUUUUUUAAUGACUCGUUUGGCACCUUACG
rnacentral:rRNA from 1 species